rnacentral:rRNA from 1 species
UACGGAGGGAGCUAGCGUUGUUCGGAAUUACUGGGCGUAAAGCGCGCGUAGGCGGCUUUUUAAGUCAGGGGUGAAAUCCCGGAGCUCAACUCCGGAACUGCCCUUGAAACUGGGAAGCUAGAAUAUUGGAGAGGUAAGUGGAAUUCCGAGUGUAGAGGUGAAAUUCGUAGAUAUUCGGAAGAACACCAGUGGCGAAGGCGACUUACUGGACAAUUAUUGACGCUGAGGUGCGAAAGCGUGGGGAGCAAACAGG